ACAAUCAGAGCCAUUACCUCACCAUUAUGACUUGUUUUAAUUUACUAAAAAUAGUGCAGCUGUUGCUGUAGAUGCAUGUACUUGCAGUGUCUGAGAAAGUCCGAUUAUUUUUUAAAUGUCACAUGCUCUGGGUGGCGCCAUAAUUAUGCCCAUGUCUGCACAUGUACAAAAUUUUUUCUCGUCUCCACAGCAAGCUACCUAAUUAGCUAAUUAGUUAACAGCAAGGGUUACGGCCUGAUAGAAGCAGUCAGAACAUUUCCGUGUAUUUGUCUCCGACUAGAAAAAUACACGGAAAUGUUUUGGAACCCGAUGGUGACGAGGGAAAACUCAAAAGUGAAUUGUUGGGAUGUUUGCUUGUACUCUAGAGAACGAUUGACACAACAGGGCUUUUCUGUGAUUGUAGGCUGUACACUAAAAUUUUUUUAGGUAAAUUAUACUCGUACAUCAGAGGCUUGUCUCCCUGUCCGUUGGCGUCAUUUGCUUUCGCUACCUUUGACCUAUUCAUUCGUCAUAGACCGUUUUUGGCGUCGUCGUCAUCCUGAUGAUGCCUAGUGUUGCCUAGUGUAGAUCUACCAAGAGUAAUACGAAGAAGCAUGACACAACGACGAUUGUUGGUCAGAACGUAGUAGGUCUAACAAUUUAAUUAAUGCAUAAUACUUCGAUUGAUACACUGCAGGCAUGUGCAUGUGCUCGGUACAUGUUCAGGGAAUCCGACAAAAAACCCUGUCGUUUGUGGGGUUUUCUAGGGCGUGCCUAGCUUGAAACUCGAGACCACGAGACCACGUCUUCGGAAUUCCGGGAUUCAUUGUGCACGGACAGCAAUUUAUGAAAAAUAAAGCAGCUGCAGAUCGGCAACUUUUUUCCAAUGCUGCUUCUGUUGUACAUGUCUGAAAGUUCAUUUUCUCAAACAACACGGCACAGUACAGUAGACUGUAGUCUCUUCUCACUAAGUGGGGUACACUUCUGCUGUGCAGCAGAGACUGAGAAAUCCGUAUCUUAGGAUGUACUUUACUUCAGACUGUCGUUAUCAUGUUAUUAAUUUUUGCACAUCCUUUUUCUAAAUAAUACUGAUUUGGUGUUGAGCAUAAGAGUUUAUUAUACACUCACAUGACUUGUGUACACCCACUAAUUAGUAAUGAUGAAAUUGUUGCAAAACGUCAAGGCAGAUCCAGCCAUGUUACGUACAAAUCUCCUUUCAGGUGGAAGUGCUUUGAAUGCAUGCAUAAUUCAGAAAGCUAGCAAAAUUCGAAGGUGAACAGUAGACCCGGAUGUAGAUGUCAUGCACAAAGAUACGG